rnacentral:rRNA from 1 species
UACAGAGGGUGCAAGCGUUGUUCGGAAUUAUUGGGCGUAAAGGGCGCGUAGGCGGCGCGGAAAGUCGUCGGUGAAAGCUCGGGGCUCAACCCUGAGUCUGCCGGUGAUACUCCCGCGCUCGAGCUCACUAGAGGCAGAUGGAAUUCCGGGUGUAGCGGUGGAAUGCGUAGAGAUCCGGAAGAACACCGGUGGCGAAGGCGGUCUGCUGGGGUGAGGCUGACGCUGAUGCGCGACGAGCGUGGGGAGCAAACAGG